rnacentral:rRNA from 1 species
GACGAACGCUGGCGGCGUGCCUAAUACAUGCAAGUCGAACGAGAGCGCCCGGUGCUUGCACUGGUCAAUCUAGUGGCGAACGGGUGAGUAACACGUGGGUAACCUGCCCAUCAGAGGGGGAUAACAUUCGGAAACGGAUGCUAAAACCGCAUAGGUCUUCGAACCGCAUGGUUUGAAGAGGAAAAGAGGCGCACGCUUCUGCUGAUGGAUGGACCCGCGGUGCAUUAGCUAGUUGGUGAGGUAACGGCUCACCAAGGCCGUGAUGCAUAGCCGACCUGAGAGGGUGAUCGGCCACAUUGGGACUGAGACACGGCCCAAACUCCUACGGGAGGCAGCAGUAGGGAAUCUUCCGCAAUGGGCGCAAGUCUGACGGAGCAACGCCGCGUGAGUGAAGAAGGUUUUCGGAUCGUAAAACUCUGUUGUUAGAGAAGAAUAAGUGCUAGAGUAACUGUUAGCGCCUUGACGGUAUCUAACCAGAAAGCCACGGCUAACUACGUG